AGUCAAUAGAUACCCGGGUAGUCCAUGCCGUAAACGAUGAUUGCUAGGUGUGGGGGGUCUGACCCCUUCCGUGCCGGAGUUAAACACAAAUAAGCAAUCCACCUGGGGAGUACGGCCGCAAGGUUGAAACUCAAAGGAAUUGACGGGGGCCCGCACAAGCAGUGGAGUAUGUGGUUUAAUUCGAAGCAACGCGAAGAACCUUACCAGGUCUUGACAUCCACCGAAUCCUGUAGAGAUACGGGAGUGCCCUUCGGGGAACGGUGAGACAGGUGGUGCAUGGUUGUCGUCAGCUCGUGUCGUGAGAUGUUGGGUUAAGUCCCGCAACGAGCGCAACCCUUGUGAAUAGUUGCUACGAAAGAGCACUCUAUUCAGACCGCCGUUGACAAAACGGAGGAAGGUGGGGAUGACGUCAAAUCAUCAUGCCCCUUAUGACCUGGGCUACACACGUACUACAAUGGUCGUCAACAGAGGGAAGCAAGACCGCGAGGUGGAGCGAACCCCUAAAAACGAUCUCAGUUCAGAUUGCAGGCUGAAACUCG
rnacentral:rRNA from 1 species